CCUAAUCCCCCAUCGUGCGAGAUGGCCCAAGAAAGUAACUUUCAUGGAAAAAGGGUGCGAUCUCUGGCCUCUAAACCUAGCGCCGCCAUGCCACACCGCUGCUCUCUGUCAAGAUCCUGCUCCUCCUCACCCGGACUCGCUGUAGCAGGUCCACACCCCUCACCUGUCGGCCGCCAACUGUAGGCUCGGGGACCCGGGCCUCCAGGCGGUGGCCCAGCCCCACUCCGGCCGCCUCGAGCUGCAGCUCCGGCACACCAUGCACUCCGGCUGAAAGGAAGAUGACGGGUGGUGGAGCGGGCAAUGGAACUGGACAUCGCCACCUCCUCCUACUGAGAUCGUAGCGAGAUACGACCCGACAGAAGGUAGAAGAGGAACAAGAUCGACGAGGAUGAAAGCUGUUUUAUUUGUUCGCCCACGGCAACAAUGUUAUCAGAGACUUAAUUAGUUUAUAUAAUCCUCGGGGGGAAAUUGUAUGCCCCGGCGACGACUCCCACCCGGCCCUGCAUUUGCUCGCCCGGCAUCCUCUAUCUCCAAGAACCCGACGUCUUACGACCAAAAAAAAAAAAUCCAACAAGCGUCGUCAGCCAUGUGAAGCUCGUUUUCAUCAGGUAGGCUGUCCUCUUGCUUGACACUGUCGACUAGCAGCAAGGCGGCAAGUUCAUUUAUAUGUGAGUUGAUCUAAUUUUUGUUUUAGUUUUUCUACCAAUUCAUCCCAAGUAAAAAAUUGGAGCCGCUCCCUUGAUGCGUACUUAAUUGUGGAGGAGAAUCUUGACAUUGUACAUUAGAUUAUCCUAUUAAGAUAGGACAACACUGUUUUGCCAGUUUUUUUCUGAACUCUCAUCUGUUUACCGAUUAAACAUUUAGACUACCACUUCAAUUUAGACUACUACUUCAAUUUACACAUAGCUUUUUUCGUUGUUUGCUCCCAAACUAUUGGCCCUCACGUAUGCAGGUGCUUGAUAAAAAGCCUCUGAUAAUAUCCUGAUUGAAUAGGAUGGUCAGUGUUCUUAACACAUUUUUCUUUUUCAUGCAGUUAAUAAUAGUUGUUUAUCAACUGUUAAAUCACCUUCACCCCCUCCCCUCCCAUAACUAAAAUUAAGAGCUUUGUGCCCAUGUUCUGACAUUUCUUAAAAUUAACAUGGCUUCUACUCUAAACAGAGAGAUCAACUCACACAUGCAGUUUCUCACCUGCAGAAACUUUUCUCAUGUUGUCUGAUAAAGAGCACCGUGGAUGGAUAUAUUAUCUUGUUUGGUAAGAUUUAAUCAUAUCUGAUAAUGUAAAACAUCUGGGUCACGUGUGUUGCACUAUGUCUCGAGCAGCUAAAUGGUAUCAUUCUCGCUUAUAAUUAUGUAGACAUUGUGUUAGACUGAAGAUUAUUAAUAUGAACUACCAUGAGAAUUCAGUAUUUUUAUGGUAACCCAUCCCCUUAACAAGCAGAGCUAGUAUUAAGGCUUAGAGACUAUUAGUGUCAACAACCACUAGAAUUCAGUCCCUGUAUGUUAAACUGCUUUUAUUUCUUUACAUAUAUACGCAUUGUAUGGUAAAUACUUAGUUAAUUGCUAUUUUUCUAAGAAAUACACUUCAAGCAUUCUCAUCUUGGACAAUCUAUCCAUGACAUAAUGAUUUUUCUUCUUUUUACAGUAUGUAUCUAUACUUCAUAUGGGCACAUGAAAUCUACACGGCUAGAUUGAACUUCUGCAGUGCAUGUUUACUCACUGUGGUAUAUGUAAUACUGUUCUUCUCUAUUCUUAUGGCUGUAUGUUGAGCAAACGAAAACUUACUGAUAGAAGUUCAAAUAAAUUUAUUUAUAUCUCAUUGGGCUUUCUUCGCAGAAAAACUUCUAUGUGCGGGAUUUUAAGGCAGUUGCCACAAGGAUACGCUAGAGAAGCAGAGAAAACAAGGAGCUAUUGUUCCAUUAUCAACAUGUAGAAACUAAAAAUCAUAUAUGUUAUUAUCUCGUGCAACAUGUAAUUGUUUAUAGGUGAUGUGUACCAUUGAGUUUGUAAACUACUACUACUCUGAGUAAUACAAUGUUAUUAUCUCGUGCCA